CGUCCUGCCUGCUGGGCUGGGGGCGGGUAGCCCCUGCCCUCCUCACUGCACUGGCAAUGAAGGAAGGCGCUGUCCAUCCAGAGAAUGGGCUUAUUGUGAGGGAAGGGGUGUCCCAGAGGGGAGCCAAGCUGCUGCCUCCUCAGGCCUCCGUGCCCAGACACAGAAACAAAAACAACUGCCCAAGAUCUCAAAGACGUGAAAAGGCCCAGCCAGGACGAGAACCCAGAUCUUCUAAGUAUCCUAUCGUCUCCUCAGGAAGAGAAGCCUCCUCCAAGACUCCUUCUUGCAAUAGGAGGAGUGUUUCCCUAUUCAACAGAGAACCAGAAACUUCCCCUCUGGUGCGUGCUGGGGAGAGAGGCCGUGGAGGGGACUCGCUGAGCUUCCCUGGGCAGUGGGGGCUGCUGUGUAACAGCUGGCUGUCUGCGGGGUUGGGAGAACACGUCUCUGUCUUGUAGUGUUUGCCAUCUUCUAGGGUAUAAAUGGUCCCGCCAUGGCUGAUUUCAAGCUACCGGCAUGAUGUCACUGACUGCAGGGUUGGGAAGAGGUGAACACGGUUAGCCCUCACGAGAUUGCACAACUGGCUCCAGCACACCACUGGCCGAGGGAGACCUGAACCUUGCUCUGGAAGCCCAUUGGCACACGCGCAUGCGCGCAGACACGUACAGGAGGCUGCACGCGCGCACUGCAGACACGGGAGCCAGCCGUCGGCCUGAUGGAUCGUGCAGUCUAAUGUAGUCCUGGUACAAGACAUGUUUCCAGGAUUCACCAGGGCACAGCCCCAUUCCCGGCAUUCCCAUCCAGGCAGGAGCAGGAGCCCGGUUUCUCCCAGUCUUGACUUCCCCUGCAGGCGGCCGGGGUUCUCGCAACUGGAACCAGGCCUGGGAGCCCGGCAGGAGCCAGCCCUGCAGCAACAGGAGGAACAGAAGCAGGGGCUGAUUCUGAUCUCCCUGAGUCCCUUCUCUGCCACCGCCUUCCUGGUGCCUGGUGGGGAUGUAAGGCCAGAGGCCUCAAACGGCCCCCCUAAUGGGGACCUAAUGUCCUGGUGAUUUCUGGGCAUUUUUCUGGACUUUAAGAAAGUC